UCCGCCAUGGUGUAACGGCAGCACGCCAGCCUUUGGAGCUGUGUGGUCUAGGUUCGAAUCCUAGUGGCGGAGCGA
rnacentral:tRNA from 3 species